rnacentral:rRNA from 1 species
UACGAAGGGGGGCUAGCGUUGUUCGGAUUUACUGGGCGUAAAGCGCACGUAGGGCGGAUUGUUUAAGUCAGGGGGGUGAAAAUCCUGGAGCUCAACUCCAGAACUGCCCUUUGAUACUGGGGUAUCUUGAGUAUGGAAGAGGUAAGUGGAAUUGCGAGUGUAGAGGUGAAAUUCGUAGAUAUUCGCAGGAACACCAGUGGCGAAGGCGGCUUACUGGUCCAUAACUGACGCUG